GCUGUAGCUCAGGGUUAGAGCAUCUGCUUUGUGUGCAGAAGGUUCCAGGUUCAAUCCCCGGUAUCUCCA